rnacentral:pre_miRNA from 17 species
CCGCGCCUCCCUCUCCGCCCGCUCGACCGCCACAUGGCAGCCCGGAUGAGGGCCUCGGGGCAACGC